rnacentral:rRNA from 1 species
CUGUAAGCGUAUACCAAAGUUGUUGCAGUUAAAACGCUCGUAGUCGGAAUUUGGCAGUUCCGGAUGUGUGCACGUAGUGUGCGCACUUCGCGGGGAUUGCUUUUGUGGUCUUGCGUAGGAUGAGGCACUUUUAUUAGUGAACGUCCUCACGCAACCACUUUUUACUGUGAGAAAAUCAGAGUGCUCAAAGCAGGCAUUUGCCGUGAAUGUAUUAGCAUGGAAUAAUAGAAUAGGACUUGGUUCUAUUUUGUUGGUUUGUUGGGACUGAGUAAUGAUUAAGAGGGACAGUUGGGGGCAUUUGUAUUUCGGUGCUAGAGGUGAAAUUCUUAGAUUACCGAAAGACAAACUGCUGCGAAAGCGUCUGCCAAGGAUGUUUUCAUUGA